GACGAACGCUGGCGGCGUGCCUAAUACAUGCAAGUUGAGCGCUGAAGGUUGGUACUUGUACCAACUGGAUGAGCAGCGAACGGGUGAGUAACGCGUGGGGAAUCUGCCUUUGAGCGGGGGACAACAUUUGGAAACGAAUGCUAAUACCGCAUAAAAACUUUAAACACAAGUUUUAAGUUUGAAAGAUGCAAUUGCAUCACUCAAAGAUGAUCCCGCGUGGUAUGAGCUAGUUGGUGAGGUAAAGGCUCACCAAGGCGAUGAUACAUAGCCGACCUGGGAGGGUUAUCGGCAACAUUGGGGCUGAGGCACGGCCCAAAAUCAUACGGGAGACAGCAGUAGGGAAUCUUCGGAAAUGGACGAAAGUCUGACCGAGCUACGCCGAGUGAGUGAAGAAGGUUUUCGGAUCGUAAAACUCUGUUGGUAGAGAAGAACGUUGGUGAGAGUGGAAAGCUCACCAAGUGACGGUAACUACCCAGAAAGGGACGGCUAACUACGUG
rnacentral:rRNA from 1 species